UUCACCUACGGGGCGCAGCAGUGAGGAAUAUUGGUCAAUGGCCGAAGGGCUGAACCAGCCAAGCCGCGUGAAGGAAUAAGGCCCUACGGGUCGUAAACUUCUUUAGUCAGGGAACAAAGGGUGCCACGUGUGGCGCUGUGAGUGUACCUGAAGAAUAAGCAUCGGCUAACUCCGUGCCAGCAGCCGCGGUAAUACGGAGGAUGCGAGCGUUAUCCGGAUUUAUUGGGUUUAAAGGGUGCGUAGGCGGAAGGUUAAGUCAGCGGUCAAAUGUCGGUGCUCAACACCGGCCUGCCGUUGAAACUGGU
rnacentral:rRNA from 1 species